UGAAUACGAGACGCUACGGCGUCGAAGCAGUCUAUGUCAUACUUCCAAGAAAAGCUUGCACUGUCAUAAACAAAUAAUGCCUGUACCAUAACCGACACAGGUGGGUAGGUAGAGUAUACUAAGGGGCGCGAGAUAACUCUCUCUGAGGAACUCGGCAAAAUGACUCCGUAACUUCGGGAGAAGGAGUGCCUUAUUUAUAAGGUUGCAAUAACAAGAUCCAAGCAACUGUUUACCAAAAACACAGGUCUCCGCUAAGUCGUAAGACGAUGUAUGGGGGCUGACGCCUGCCCAGUGCCAGAAGGUUAAAGAAGUUGGUUAGCAUUAGCGAAGCUGAUAACUGAAGCCCUGGUGAACGGCGGCCGUAACUAUAACGGUCCUAAGGUAGCGAAAUUCCUUGUCGGGUAAGUUCCGACCCGCACGAAAGGCGUAAUGAUUUGGAUGCUGUCUCGGAGAGGGACUCGGUGAAAUAGACUUGUCUGUGAAGAUGCGGACUACCUGCACCACGACAGAAAGACCCUAUGAAGCUUUACUGUAACUUGAAAUUGAAAUUGGACUUUAUUUGCGCAGUAUAGGUGGGAGGUUUGAGAAUAUUCUUGCGGGAAUAUUGGAGCCAUCAGUGAGAUACCACUCUUGUAAUGUUAGAUUUCUAACUUUGUAUCAUUAUCUGGUCAAAGGACAGUUUCAGGCGGGCAGUUUGACUGGGGCGGUCGCCUCCUAAACGGUAACGGAGGCGCACAAAGGUUUCCUCUGAACGGGUAGAAAUCGUAUCUAGAGUGUAAAGGCAUAAGGAAGCUUGACUGUGAGACCUACAAGUCGAGCAGGGACGAAAGUCGGUCUUAGUGAUCUGACGGUGCUGAGUGGAAAGGCCGUCACUCAACGGAUAAAAGUUACUCUAGGAUAACAGGCUGAUCUCCCCCAAGAGUUCACAUCGACGGGGAGGUUUGGCACCUCGAUGUCGGCUCAUCGCAUCCUGGGGCGGUAGUACGUCCCAAGGGUUGGGCUGUUCGCCCAUGAAAGCGGUACGCGAGCUGGGUUCAGAACGUCGUGAGACAGUUCGGUCCAUAUCCGGUGUAGGCGUUAGAAUAUUGAGAGGAGCCUUCUUUAGUACGAGAGGACCGAGAAGGACAUACCUCUGGUGUACCAGUUAUCGUGCCAACGGUAAACGCUGGGUAGCUAUGUAUGGAGAGGAUAACCGCUGAAAGCAUCUAAGUGGGAAGCCCACCUCAAGAUAAGUA
rnacentral:rRNA from 1 species